CCCUUAGAUGUUCUGGGCCGCACGCGCGCUACACUGACGGAUUCAACGAGCUUACAACCUUGGCCGAAAGGUCUGGGUAAUCUCCAAAAUCCGUCGUGAUGGGGAUAGAUUAUUGCAAUUAUUAAUCUUCAACGAGGAAUGCCUAGUAAGCGCGAGUCAUCAGCUCGCGCUGAUUACGUCCCUGCCCUUUGUACACACCGCCCGUCGCUACUACCGAUUGGAUGGUUUAGCGAGAACUUUGGACCGGAGCUCGGGUGGUCAGCAAUGGCCGCCCGAGACAUACUGGGAAAUCGCUCCAGCUUGAUCAUCUAGAGGAAGUAAAAGUCGUAACA
rnacentral:rRNA from 1 species